rnacentral:lncRNA from 1 species
UGGCAGCAUUUCUCCCAAGGCUACAAGGCCUUUGCCACCUACUUGGGCAUGGGCGAAGAAGAAGAAAAAAAAAUAAAGGAAGAAGGAGGCAUGUAUAGAACAUUUACAAAGCAUAAAAGUGUUUACCUUUGAUAUAAUUUUUAUAAGAAACCUAGAAGAAAUAAUCUUUGUAUUUUUUUCUUUGAUUUUUGUCCUACUUUUGGCAAAAGAAAGAGGAUAAGGCAGCGAUGAGGUGGGUUUGGAGCUUGGCCCACCUGCACUCUCCUCUACCCUUUACUUGCCAUCCACGUGGCCUGGCUUGAAGGAAUUCUCUCCAGUCUUGAGUGCAGGCUCAUUCCCUCAAAACUGGGUACAAUUAUACGCCAUGUGGGGUUGUUGUGAAGAUUAAAGAAAAGUACUCAGCAAACAUCUUGCUGCACUCCCUCCUACACCACAAUAUGCUUUUGUGCAAGGAGCCAGCUCAUUUCAGGGAGAGGAGAGGCGUCCAGCUGCCCAUGGACCCCACCAACACCAGCUCUGACAUAGGAGGGGAAACAGCCCCGAGAGGUGCAAAGUAUUCUAAGUUAUGGAUGUUCAUAGAAGGGUAGUUUGUUUUAUUUGUAAUUCUUUACUUUUGGCUGUGCUUACCUCCUGCCAGAUUUCUAACUCCCUUAACAUUUAAGAUUGCCAAAUCAGGCCAUCUGUAAACAUGAAAAGUUGUAAAACUGGGGUCUUUCACCAAAGUGAUAGUUUUAAUAUUCUGAACAGAAGAAAAACUAAUAUUUUAGUUCUGAAAGUCCCAAAUAAUAUAGUUUGGAGUGGGUAUAGCCUCUCUGUUCUCCAUCCUCUGCAUUUCUCAGGGUUUUCUGAAUGUGGGUGGAUCUUGGUUUGAUGGCCAUCUUUUUCUUCCUCUCUGUCGAGAAUGUGCCUUGGCAAGCAUUGGAGAAGCCCAGCACAGCUUUUGUGAGCCAGAAAGGUUAAAACUGAGCUGACAGGACAGCCCCAGCUCUCUGCUGUUGUCCUGGAAGCUGGGAAGUCCUGGAUCAAGACACCAAUAGAUUUGGUACCUGGUGAGAGCUCUCUUUUCAGUUUGUAGAUGGCCAUCUUCUUGCUGUGGCAAGGGACAAAGGGUUCUCUCUGGGGUCUCUUUUAUCAAAGCAUAAAUCGCAUUCAUGAAGGCUGAUGUGGUUUGGCUGUGUACCCACCCAAAUCUCAUCUUGAAUUGUAGUUCCCAUAAUCCCCAUGUGUUGUGGGAGGGACCUGAUGUGAGGUAAUUGAAUCAUGGGGUGGUUACCUCCAUGCUGUUCUCAUGUUAGUGUCUUGUCAUGAGAUCUGAUGGUUUUAUAAGGGGCUUUCCCCUUUUGCUCAGCACUUCUCCUUGUUGCUGCAAUGUGAAGAAGGGCAUGUUUUCUUCCCCUUCUGCCAUGAUUGUAAGUUUCCUGAGGCCCCCCUAGCCCUGUGCAAUUGUGG